ACAACGAGGUGACAGAAUAGUUGCUCAUCUAGUUCAUACUAAUGGAAUCAUAUAUAUCGUUCCCAGGAAUACAAACAUGUCUAAAGGUUAUCUUAGGGAUACCCAUUCAACCUAAAGAAUUGAAUCUAUGACUGUGAAAGUUUCUAGUUACAUGGCAUAGGGGGACAUACCUUGUAGAGAGGAUUUUAAUUCCCUUAUAAAGGGAAAAUAAAAAUAAAAAAAUUCUAAGAUCAUCAUGGAUUUGCCUCAAGUCACUGAGGAAGAGAUGAAGUCAUUUUAAUAUUUCUUCAUUCCAGACUACUGCUCCCUCACUCUCCCUCGUU
rnacentral:lncRNA from 1 species